UGGGGGAUAUUGCACAAUGGGCGAAAGCCUGAUGCAGCGACGCCGCGUGGGGGAUGAAGGCUUUCGGGUUGUAAACCUCUUUCGCUAUCGAACAAGGCCCGCUUAGGGUGGGUUGAGGGUAGGUGGAGAAGAAGCGCCGGCUAACUACGUGCCAGCAGCCGCGGUAAUACGUAGGGCGCGAGCGUUGUCCGGAAUUAUUGGGCGUAAAGGGCUUGUUGGCGGCUUGUUGCGCCUGCUGUGAAAACGCGGGGCUUAACUUCGCGCGUGCAGUGGGUACGGGCAGGCUUGAGUGUGGUAGGGGUGACUGGAAUUCCAGGUGUAGCGGUGGAAUGCGCAGAUAUCUGGAGGAACACCGAUGGCGAAGGCAGGUCACUGGGCCAUUACUGACGCUGAGGAGCGAAAGCAUGGGUAGCGAACAGG
rnacentral:rRNA from 1 species